rnacentral:lncRNA from 1 species
AAUUCAAAAACGGAAAUGAAAAAUAUGGAUCCAACACGUAUCCUAGCGCGUUUUUCAUCAUCUUCAGCAAACAAAUUCCAGAAAAAUCACGAAGAACAAAUUUCAACCAAAAUUGACAAAUGAUACAUAAAAAUCACCAGCAAAUCACGUACAUCAUGAAUAUGAAGUUAGUUUGACCUAACUCUUUCUACACAGCACGGAUCGAUCGAAAAUAGAUUCCACAUCCAAACUUAAAUCCACGAUUUCUC